GAUCAGUGGCGAACGGGUGAGUAACACGUGAGCAAUCUGCCCUUGACUCUGGGAUAAGCGCUGGAAACGGCGUCUAAUACUGGAUAUGAGCUGUGGCCGCAUGGUCGGCAGUUGGAAAGAAUUUCGGUCAAGGAUGAGCUCGCGGCCUAUCAGCUUGUUGGUGAGGUAAUGGCUCACCAAGGCGUCGACGGGUAGCCGGCCUGAGAGGGUGACCGGCCACACUGGGACUGAGACACGGCCCAGACUCCUACGGGAGGCAGCAGUGGGGAAUAUUGCACAAUGGGCGCAAGCCUGAUGCAGCAACGCCGCGUGAGGGACGACGGCCUUCGGGUUGUAAACCUCUUUUAGCAGGGAAGAAGCGAAAGUGACGGUACCUGCAGAAAAAGCACCGGCUAACUACGUGCCAGCAGCCGCGGUAAUACGUAGGGUGCAAGCGUUAUCCGGAAUUAUUGGGCGUAAAGAGCUCGUAGGCGGUUUGUCACGUCUGCUGUGAAAACUGGAGGCUCAACCUCCAGCCUGCAGUGGGUACGGGCAGACUAGAGUGCGGUAGGGGAGAUUGGAAUUCCUGGUGUAGCGGUGGAAUGCGCAGAUAUCAGGAGGAACACCGAUGGCGAAGGCAGAUCUCUGGGCCGUAACUGACGCUGAGGAGCGAAAGGGUGGGGAGCAAACAGGCUUAGAUACCCUGGUAGUCCACCCCGUAAACGUUGGGAACUAGUUGUGGGGUCCAUUCCACGGAUUCCGUGACGCAGCUAACGCAUUAAGUUCCCCGCCUGGGGAGUACGGCCGCAAGGCUAAAACUCAAAGGAAUUGACGGGGACCCGCACAAGCGGCGGAGCAUGCGGAUUAAUUCGAUGCAACGCGAAGAACCUUACCAAGGCUUGACAUAUACGAGAACGCUGCUAGAAAUGGUCAACUCUUUGGACACUCGUAAACAGGUGGUGCAU
rnacentral:rRNA from 1 species